rnacentral:rRNA from 1 species
UACGAGGGGGGCGAGCGUUGUUCGGAAUUAUUGGGCGUAAAGGGUGCGUAGGCGGUUCCGCAAGUCCUGUGUGAAAUCUUCGGGCUCAACUCGAAGUCUGCACGGGAAACUGCGGGGCUUGAGUGUGGGAGAGGUGAGUGGAAUUCCCGGUGUAGCGGUGAAAUGUGUUGAGAUCGGGAGGAACGCCGGUGGCGAAAGCGACAGACUGGGGCUUGGCCGACGCUCAGGCACGAAAGGCCAGGGGAGCGAACGGGGAGUUAGAAACCCUUGG